AGGAACUCCAGGAGGAACUCCAGAAGAAGACAUUGUUAUCAUAAGAGAUGACAGCUCUAUGCAUGUUAUUGCCUCUGGAGAUCUUCCAGUGGGAGAAAAUAUUGAGGUAGAAAAUAGUGACAUUGAUGACCCUGACCCUAUGUAGACCUAGGAGAAUAUUUGUGUUUGUGUCUUACGUUUUUUCUUUUCUUUUCUUUUCUUUUUUUGAAGUAGAGUCUGGCUCUGUUGCCCAGCCUGGAGUGCAGUAGUACAAUCCCAGUUCACUGCAACCUCUACCUUCCAGGCUCAAGCGAUCCUCCCACCUCAGCCUCCUGAGUAGCUAGGACCACAGGCAUGCACCACCAUGCCCAGCUAGUUUUUUGUAUUUGUAGUAGGGAUGGGGUUUCACCAUUUUGCCCAGGCUGGUCUUGAACUCCUGACCUCAGAUGAUCCACCCACCUUGGCCCCACAAAGUGCUGGGAUUACAAGCGUGAGCCACCACACCUGGCCAAAAAAAAAUUGUUUUAAAAAGACAAAUAAUAGCCAAGCAUGGAGGCUCACACCUGUAAACCCAGCACUUUGGGAGGCUGAGGCAAGAGGAACUUGAGCCCAGGAGUUUGAGACCAGCCUGGGCAACAUAGUGAGCCCCAUCUCUACAAAAAAAUAAAAAAAUUAACUAGCAUGGUGGCACAUGCCUGUGGUCCCAGCUACUCAGGAGGCUGAAGUGAGAGGACUGCUCAAGCCCAGGAUGUCAAGGCUGCAGUGAGCUAUGAUCACACCACUGCCCUCCAGCCUGGAUGACAGAGUGAGACUCUGUCUUUAAAGAAAAAAAAAAAAAAAGACAAAUAAUCUACUUUGGGGGAAAAUCUGCCAGGUGUGGUGGCGCAUGCCUGUAGUCCCAGCUACCAGCUGCUUGGGAGGCUGAGGUGGGAGGACUGAGGUUGCAGUGAGCUAUGAUUGAGCCACUGCACUCCAGUCCCGGGUGAGGCCCCAACUCUUAAAAAAAAAAAAGACAAAUAAUUCAAUAUAAAAAUGGGCAAAGGACUUGAAUAGACACUUCUCCAAAGAAGAUGUACAAUGGCCAAUAAGCACAUGAAGAUAAGCUCAACAUUACUAGCCAUCAGAGAAAUGCAAAACAAAACCACAAUAAGGUAACCCUUUCCAUUCUCCUUGGAUAGCUAUAAUCAAAAACACAAUAACAAGUGUUGGUGAGGAUGUGGGGAAAUAAAAACUCUCAUACACUACUAGUGGGAACAUAAAAUGCUACAGCCACUUUGGAAAACAGUUUGGCAGUUCCCCCCAAAAUUAAACAGCUACCCUAUGACUCAGUAAUUCACUCAUAGCUACAGAUACAAGAGAAAACAUAUAUCAUACAAAAACUUGCACAUGAAUGUUUACAUAACAUUAUUUCACAGUAGCUGAAUAACAGUAACAAAUCAAAUGUCCAUCAGCUGAUGAACAGAUAAACAGAAUGCGAUUUUUUUUUUUUUUUUUUUGAGACGGAGUCUCGCUCUGCCACCCAGGCUGGAGUGCAGUGGCCAGAUCUUGGCUCACUGCAAGCUCCGCCUCCCAGGUUCAUGCCAUUCUCCUGCCUCAGCCUCCCGAGUAGCUGGGACUACAGGCGCCCGCCACCUCGCCCGGCUAGUUUUUUGUAUUUUUUAGUAGAGACGGGGUUUCACUGUGUCAGCCAGGAUGGUCUCGAUCUCCUGACCUCGUGAUCCGCCCGUCUCGGCCUCCCAAAGUGCUGGGAUUACAGGCUUGAGCCACCGCGCCCGGCCGGGAUUUUUUUUUUCGAGACAGUGUCUUGCUCUGUCGCCCAGGCCAUAGUGCAAUGGCGUGAUCUCGGCUCACUGCAACCUCCGCUUCCCGAGUUCAAGCGAUUCUCCUGUUUCAGCCUCCCAAGAAGCUGGGAUUACAGGCAUGUGCCACCAUGCCCAGCUAAUUUUUGUAUUUUUCGCAGAGAUGGGGUUUCACCUUGUCCAGGCUGGUCUCAAACUCCUGACCUCGUGAUCCGCCUGCCUUAGCCUCCCAAAGUGCUGGGAUUACAGGUUUGAGCCACCACACCUGGCCCAAUAUAUUCUUACAAUGGUAUAUUAUUCAGCCAUAGAAAGGAAUGAACUUCUGAUACUUGCUACAAUGUGGAUGCAUCCUGAAAACAUUAUGCCAAGUUAAAGAAGCUAGACAUAAAAGGUCACAUAUUGUAUGAUUCUUUUUAUAUGUGAUGUCCAGAAUAAGCAAAUCUCGAGAGACAGAAAGCAGAUUAGUGGCUGGGGGCUGGGAGAAACGGACAAUGACUGCUAAUGGGUACAGAGAUUCUUUGGGGGGUGAUGAAAAUGUUUUGCAAUAGAUAGUGGUGACAGUUGCAUGACUUUAUGAAUAUACUAAAACUCAUGGAGUUGUGCACUCUAAAGGGAUUAUUUACAUGGUAUAUGAAUUAUACAAUUUUAAAAAUUAGAUAUUAAAAGAACACAAAAGACAAUGGUUUAUUACUUUUCACAAUUCUCGGAGUUAACUGGGCAGGUUUUCUGCUUUCAUAUAGCUAGGAUCACUCAUGUGACUGUAUUUAGCUGGUAGCUGGGCUGGACUGGAUGAUUCAAGGAGGCCUCAUUCAUAUGUCUGGAACCUUGGUGCUGGCUGUCAGCUGCAACACCUUGGUUCUCCUCCACAUCUUCUCUCUCUCUUUCUCUCUCUGUCUCUGUCUCUAGCAGAACAAUCUGAGCCUCCUUACAGCAUGGCAGCUGAGCUCCAAGAGAGAGAAAUGGAAGUUGUCAUGCCUUUUAAGGUCCAGGCCCAGAACUACCUCCGCAUCCCUUCUGCUGCAUUCUAUUGGUCAGAGCACAAGGCCAACCCAGACUCAAGGGAAGGAGAACUUGACACGACCUUUCUUCACCCCCCAGCUUUACUGAGGUAUGAUUGAACAAAUAAAAAGUGCAUAUAUUUAGAGUAUGCAAUGUGAUGCCUUGAUAUACAUAUACAUUGUGAAAUCAUUACCACAACCAAGCUAAUUAACAUAUCAAUCACCUCACGUAGUUACCAUUUUCUGUUUGUUUGUUUGUUUGUUUGCUUUGAAAAAGGGUCUUUCUGGCCUGUCAGAGUGACUGACGCCUGUAAUCCCAGCACUUUAGGAGGCUGAGGCAGGUGGAUCUCUUGAGGUCAGGAGUCCGAGACAAGUCUGGCCAAUAUGGUGAAACCCUAUCUCUACUAAAAAUACAAAACUUAGCCGGGUAUGGUGGCUCAUGCUUGUAAUCAUAGCUACUUGGGAGGCUGAGGCAGGAGAAUUGCUUGAACCUGGGAGGCAGAGGUUGCAGUGAGCCGAGAUCACACCACUGCACUCCAGCCUAGGCAACAGAGGGAGGCUGUAUCUCAAAAAAAAAAAAAAAGCUAAAGAAAAAGGGUCUUUCUCUGUCACCCAAGCUAGAGUGCAAAGUGAAGUGGCAUGAUCACAGUUCACUGCAGCCUCCCAAGCUCAAGCCAUCCUCUCAUAUCAGCCUCCUGAGUAGCUGGGACUACAGGCGUGCACCACAACACCCAGCUAAUUUUUAAAAUUUUUGUAGAGACACGGUCUCACUGUGGUGCCCAGGCUGGUCUCAAACUCCUGGGUUCAACUGAUCCUCCCACCUCUGCCUCCCAAAGUGCUAGGACUAUAGGCAUGAGCCACUGCGCCUGGCCCGUGUGUGUGUGUGUGUGUGUGUGUGUGUGUGUGUGUGUUGUGAGAACACUUGAGGUCUACUCUCCUAGCAAAGUUCAAGUACAGAAGGACUUUUAAAAGUUCAUGCAGGCCCAGCGUGAUGGCUCACACCUGUAAUCCCGGCACUUUGGGAGGCCGAGGCAGGUGGAUCGCCUGUGGUCAGGAGUUUGAGACCAGCCUGGCCAGCAUAGUGAAACCCCAUCUCUACUAAAAAUACAAAAAAUUAGCUGGACGUGGUGGUGGGUGCCUGUAAUCCCAGCUACUUGGGAGGCUGAGGCAAGAGAAUCACUUGAACCCAGGAGGUGUAGGUUGCAGUGAGCCGAGAUUAAGACAUUCCACUCCAGCCUGGGCAACAAUAGCAAAACUUCAUAUCAAAAAAAAAAAAAAAAAAAUCAGGAAAAAUAAAUUUAAAAAGAUAAACUUCAUUUCUUAACAUAAGCUUCAUUGAGUUCAAGACACUUGUAAAUGAUGAUACCAGCCAUUUAGUUCAUCCCUAAAGAACUGAGGGGCCUGGGAAUUUAACCAUGUCAAUACAUGUGUUUUUUACAUUGUUAGCUGAAGAAACAUGGGUGCCCUUUAAGACUUUUUUUUAAUGGAGUCUCCCUCUGUUGCCCAGGCUGGAGCGCAGGGGCAUGAUCUCAGCUCACUGCAACCUCCACCUUCCAGGUUCAAGUCAUUUUCAUGCCUCAGCCUCCGGAGUAGUUGGGAUUACAGGUGUGCACCACCACACCCGGCUUAUUUUUAGUAGGAAGAGGGUUUCACCAAGUUGGCCAAGCUAGUCUCAAAUUUCUGACCUCAAGUGAUCUGCCUGCCUCGGCCUUAAGGUUAGAAAAAAAUAAAUAAGUCAGAAGAAGGCAAAUCAUGACUGUAAGGUGGAUGCCUAGUGAUUUCUCAUUGAAACUCUCAAAAAAUUGCCAUUGCCCUGUUUGAUGAGAGGAAUGAGCAGGAGCGUUGUUGUGGUGGAGAAAGACUCUCCAAUAAAGCUUUCCUGUGUGGUUGUUUCUCUUUUUUUGUUUGUUUGUUUGUUUGUUUUGUUUUGAGAUGGAGUCUCACUCUGUCGCCAGGCUGGAGUGCAGUGGCGUGAUCUCGGCUCACUGCAACCUCCGCCUCCCUAGUUCAAGCGAUUCUCCUGCCUCAACCUCCCAAGUAGCUGGGAUUACAGGCACACGCCACCACACCCAGUUAAUUUUUGUAUUUUUUUAGUAGAGACAGGGUUUCACCAUAUUGGCCAGGAUGGUCUUGAUCUCCUGACCUCGUGAUCUACCCACCUCGGCCUUCCAAAGUGCUGGGAUUACAGGCGUGAGCCACCGCACCCGGGAUUUUUUUUUUUUUCCUAAAUCUUCAGCUAACUUUCUUAAAACACUCUCAUAAUAAGCAGAUGUUAUUAUUCUUUGGCCCUCCCAGAAAGUCAAGAAGCAAAAUGAGUUGAACAUCCCCAAUAACUGUUGCCAUGAUCUUUGAUCUUGAUUGGUGUGCUUUUGCUUUGACUAGACCCCUCCCACCUCUUGGUAGUCAUUGCUUUGAUUAUGCUUUGUCUUCAAAACUAUACUGGUAAAGCCGUGUUUCAUUUUCUGUUACAAUUCCUAGAAGAAAUGCUUAAGAAUUUCGAUCCCAUUUGUUUAAAAUUUCCAUUGAAACCUUUGCUUGUCUACAGUUGAUCAGCGUGCAACUGUUUGGGAAACUAUUUAAGGGAAAUUUUGCUCAACUUUAAUUUUUUAGUCAGACUUGUGUAAGCUGAACCAAUUGAGAUGUUUGUGAUAUUGGCUAUUGUUUCUGCUGUUAAUUGUCCAUCUUACUCAAUUAUGGCACAAACCAAGAUA
rnacentral:lncRNA from 1 species